UUUUCAAUGUAAGUAUGUCCUAUGCAAUAUUUGGGACAUACUUAUAUAAAA
rnacentral:pre_miRNA from 1 species